AUGUUCUCUGUAGCUCUGCUGCUGCUGCUGGCUGCUGCAUCCUGUGUGAAGUGUGAACAGCUGACACAACCAGCCUCUGUGACUGUGCAGCCAGGUCAACAUCUGACCAUCAGCUGUCAAGUCUCUUAUUCUAUCAGCACCUACUGGACAGUGUGGGUCAGACAGCCCAUUGGGAAGGGAUUGGAGUGGAUUGGUGGAUCUGGCAUUGGACAUAUCACAGUGUUCAAAGAUUCACUAAAUAACAAGUUCAGCAUCAGCUUAGAUGGCUCCAGUAAAACAGUGACAUUAAAUGGGCAGAAUAUGCAGCCUGAAGACUCUGCUGUGUAUUACUGUGCCAGAAAGACCACAGUGACACAAGCAAGCAGCAAAACUGUACAAAAACAUCACAGUCUGAGAAUAAGUAUGCAGUAA